rnacentral:lncRNA from 1 species
UCUUUUAUUAAUGAUACUGGUUUGGUCUGCCUCUCCAUGGAGAGGUUCAGAGCCUUACAAUGAUGUGUUAUCCCUUCUUUUAGAAAUAGAUGUGAAGAAGAAGAAACAGCCCCCCUUUUAGGGUUCUUUCUUUUAGUAUUUAUACCUAGGAAAUCUGCGUGAGGACGGCUAGGCCGUGGCCUUAGUUGUCAAAUUGGAU